AGUGAACGCUGGCGGUAGGCCUAACACAUGCAAGUCGAACGGCAGCACAGUAAGAGCUUGCUCUUACGGGUGGCGAGUGGCGGACGGGUGAGGAAUACAUCGGAAUCUACUUUUUCGUGGGGGAUAACGUAGGGAAACUUACGCUAAUACCGCAUACGACCUACGGGUGAAAGCAGGGGAUCUUCGGACCUUGCGCGAUUGAAUGAGCCGAUGUCGGAUUAGCUAGUUGGCGGGGUAAAGGCCCACCAAGGCGACGAUCCGUAGCUGGUCUGAGAGGAUGAUCAGCCACACUUGAACUGCGACACGGUCCAGACUCCUACGGGAGGCAGCAGUGGGGAAUAUUGGACAAUGGGCGCAAUCCUGAUCCAGCCAUACCGCGUGGGUGAAGAAGGCCUUCGGGUUGUAAAGCCCUUUUGUUGGGAAAGAAAAGCAGCAGGUUAAUACCCCGCUGUUCUGACGGUACCCAAAGAAUAAGCACCGGCUAACUUCGUG
rnacentral:rRNA from 1 species